GAUGUCCAAUCAGGAUAGUGCGUUUGAAUUGUAGAAAAGUCAGUGAAAAGAAUUCAUGAUUUUCGCAACGCACCAAAUUGCUGCUCUAAGUUGGGAAUGAAGUUGGGUUAGGAAACCUAUUUUCUUUUAGCAAUUAAGAUCACUAAAAUGAACGGUGUUUCUUGUUCGCUGAAAAGACGGCAAAUCCAACCCUCCCCCAACGUCAACACCA